rnacentral:rRNA from 1 species
CAAGUCGAGCGAACAGAUAAGGAGCUUGCUCCUCUGACGUUAGCGGCGAACGGGUGAGUAACACGUGAGGAACUUGCCCAUGAGCGGGGGACAACAUUCGGAAACGGAUGCUAAUACCCCAUAGGUGGAUUGGUCGCAUGACUAAUUCGUUAAAGGUGGCCCUGCUACCACUCAGUGUAUAGCCUCGCGGCCGUAUUAGCCUAGAUUGGUAAGGGUAAUGGUCUUACCAAGGACAGAUGAUACGAUAGCCGAUCUUGAGAAGGGUGAUCGCGCCACACUGGAGACUGAGACACGGACCCAGACUCCUACGGGAGGACAGCAGUAGGGAAUCUUCCACAAUGGGUGCAACCUGACUGGAGACAUGCCGCGUGAGUGAAGAAGGUCUUCGGAUCGUAAAGCUCUGUUGUUAGAGAAGAACACGUGCUAGGUAACUACUAGCGCCUUGACGGUAUCUAACCAGAAAGUCACGGCUAACUACGUGCCAGCAGCCGCGGUAAUACGUAGGUGACAAGCGUUGUCCGGAUUUAUUGGGCGUAAAGGGAGCGCAGGCGGUCUGUUUAGUCUAAUGUGAAAGCCCACGGCUUAACCGUGGAACGGCAUUGGAAACUGACAGACUUGAAUGUAGAAGAGGAAAAUGGAAUUCCAAGUGUAGCGGUGGAAUGCGUAGAUAUUUGGAGGAACACCAGUGGCGAAGGCGAUUUUCUGGUCUAACAUUGA